rnacentral:tRNA from 1 species
GGAGGUGCGUUUCAGCUGGUGCUGGGCCCGGACUUCAAAUCCGGUGAGAGGGGUUAAUAGCUUCUCUGGUAGGUUCGAUUCCUACACGCCUCCGCCA